GCCCCGGUGGCUUAGUCGGUUAAGCAUCUGACUCUUGAUUUCGGCUCAGAUCAUAAUGUCAGGAUCGUGAGAUCAAGCCCCACAUGGGGCU
rnacentral:tRNA from 1 species